rnacentral:lncRNA from 10 species
ACUCAGUCUCAAAAAAAAGGAAAAAAGAAAAAAGAGAGUGAGGCUGGAAUGCAGCUCACUGCAGACUCAACCUCCUGGUGCCAGACUAAAUUUCUGUUCUUGUUGCUGAAACAAGGUCUCCCUCUGUCGCCCAGGCUGGAGUGCAGUGGUGCGAUUUCAGCUCACUGCAGACUCGACCUCCCAGGCUCAAGCAACUCUGCCACCACGGUGGUGGCAUGGGACUACAGAUGCACAUCACCACACCGGCUGAUUUUUGUAUUUUUUUUAGACACAGGAUCUCGCCAUGUUGCCCAGGCUGGUCUCAAACUGUUGAGCUCCAGUUAUCCACCCACCUCAGUCUCCCAAAUUGCUGAGAUUACAGGCGUGAGCCACCAUGCCUGGCCUAUUUUUUCUUUAGGACUCUGGGAACGGUUAUAUUUAGCGUGUGUGUGUGUGUGUGUGUGUUUGGAGACAGAGUCUCGCUCUGUUGCCCAGGCUGGAGUGCAGUGGUACAGUCAAAGCUCACUGCAACCUCCACCUCCUGGGUUCAAGCAAUUCUCAUGUCUCGGCCUCCCGAGUAGCUAGGAUUACAAGUGCCCACUACCAUGCCCAGCUAAUUUUUGUGUUUUUAGUAGAGACGGGGUUUCACCAUUUGGCCAGGCUGGUCUUGAAUUCCUGGCCUCAUGUGAUCCACCCACUUCAGCCUCCCAAAGAGCUGGGAUUCCAGGCAUGAGCCACCAUGCCCAACCUAGCAUCGGGUUUUAAAUUUUACUUUUUCUCCUCUGUUAUAAAUUCCUCUGGCUGACCCCAGACAUACAGCACAUCUCUCAUGCACGCUGGGCUUGUGUUCACGAUGUGCAUUGACACAUUAGACUAACAUCUCUGGUGUGUCUCCUGUGUCCCAGGCAUUGUUCUGAGUAUUUAGGAAACAGCAACGAACAGAAGAGAUGAAACUCCUGCACUCAUGGAGCUCACUUUCUAAUGGGAAGUGAAAGAGUAGGAUGAAGGGAACUGUGCCCUUCCUUACAUCACCCCACACUUAAAAUAGAACCUAAAACCACACACGGGGUUCUUCAAAUACCAGGCACACUGCUGCCCCAGGGCCUUCUCUCUCUCCUAGAGCUUUGCAUGGUCUAACCCUCUCCCCACUUCAUUCUGGACACUGAGCAAAUGUUAUCCCAUCAGAGAGGGCUUUCCUGAAUGCCUUAGCUAGACCAGCACACACAUGUAUCUAUCAUGCCAUGCCCCUAACUGGCUUUGUUUUCUUUAUGGCCCUUUUCCCUAGACUAAAAUGUUGUCUAUUUCCUCUACUAGAAUGUAGGCACCACGGAGGCAGGAAUUUGGGUUUCUUUUCUCACUGCUGUCUCCCCAAUCUAGGGACAACGCCUGGCACCCAGUAGGCACUCAAGAAGUAUUUACUGAACGAAUCAGUCACCCCUUCACUGAUGUCAGUUUGGCAACAGUAGUACUGACAGAGGGGAUCGUGGCUGGAGUUCCAGGCGGGGAACCACAGAGGCAUACUUGAGGGGUAGGGGAAACGAAAAAUUACCUGGAGGAGCAGCUGUCCUAAAUAUAGCAGCAGCAGAUGACCCGUGACCAGGGUCACUGUCCGACCACACCAGAUUCUGCAAGUUGGCAGGGUUUUCAUUGUAUAUAUGAAAUAUAUAUACAAUUGUAUAUAUAUGAAAUAAGAUAUAUAUACAAUUGUAUAUA